CUAGUGGACUAAAGCGUAUCUUCCAGAAAGGCAUUCAGUCUUAACCCAUAGACAUAAAAAUGGAGAUCUCUCUUCUUCUUGGUAUUUAGUUAUUCUCUGCACCCCCCAUUAGUGAAGCCUUCCCAGUGGCUGUUGUCAGCUCCAUGUGGGCAGAGUUAAUGUUACAUUGCAGGGGAUGAUACCCUAGUUUUAUAUUUCCAGCUUGUGAGUGGUUUAAUUUGAAGAGUUGAUCACAUUAGGGAAAGGCAUGUGGAGACACUGAGUAACCAGGACUCUGUUUACUGCCUUUUUCCUUAUUUUUUCAAAAAUAAUUUCUUGGACCCAAUAUACCACAGCCCAGCUCUCCCCUUCCACUGCCCAUGGCUGUUUGGCAGUGAUUUCCCACAGAACGCACUCACUGGCUACAUGGUAGUCCCCUCAUUUCCCUGGUAUUAUCGUCUCCUCAGCCCUCUCUGCCUGUCCAGAAUAACUGGUCCUCUCUCCUCCGCCUUCCUCACAAAGAGGCAGGGGUCAGCAUAGCACCAGCAGUCUGAGGAACUGUAAAAGGAAUGUAGGCUCAAUGCAGGGACUAGCAUGGAGACAUAUUCUGAAGGGGGCCCAGAUGUAGAGGAUUUGGCGGGGAUAGAAACGAAACCCCUCAAGCAUUCGUCCUGCACAUCUCACACCCUGCUUUCCAUCCCACUUUUUCCUAUACAAUACUGUUUCAACUCCCCCUCAUACUCUUCUCCACUAAUCCAAUCCCCCCACGUUCCCUAAAGCUACUCAGAGACCUCCACCACUGUUCCAACUUCUCCCUCCAUCACAUCUAUUGCUCUGACAGUCCCCACACUCAGAGUAGCUCCACCCUCCUCCUUGUCAUUUUAUGCCCCAGGCAACCUUGGAGGGAACACAGAAUGGUUGGAAGAACGUGGGGCUCUCAGGAGUGUAUGUACCAACUGGAGCCUGGGAGAGGAAGCUGGAGAUGCAGAGUUCCCACCUGAAUUGUGGGGUGACAACACAGGAAGCUCAAAGAGGUGUGAAGUGUCCCAUUCCUUUCAAUGUGAUGGUCUCCGCUGAACGCCCCCUGGAGAUGGAUACAGGAUGCAAUAGAUCUGAGAUGUAUGAUCUGCAUCAUUCAUCGUCCACCUUUAAACAGAAAAACACUUCAGUAACAGUAAGGAAAAGAGAAUGUGAAAGUGCAAUGCUCUAUAUGACUGUCAGCAUGCUGAGUCCACAGUAUGUCUGGCCUGAGUAGAAUGAGCGCUUGUGCACAAAUCAAGUCACAGUGAAGCUUAAGUGCGUGCAGAAGUACAGAUGGAUCCAAUGGCAUGAUGUGCAGCCUGAACUCAUGGAAGUGCAAGUCCCCAACAAGAAAGUAAUGGAAACCUGUUGCAAAAAAGAGCAAAGAUAUUUUCAUGGGGGAAAAGCAAAGGCACCGCAACCCCCCUUAGUUUUCUGGUAAGAGGAUACAAGAUUGAAGUCUGUCAUCCACAGGAGACAUGCAUGGAAGCAUAAGGACAAAAAUUACUCUGGAUGCAUAGCUAUUAGAGCAAAGGAAUGCAGUGCUGGAAAGAAUGUGGACAACAGCCAAAGCUCUCCUGCUAACGUCUAGUAGUAAUUGUACUUCGCUACAUUUACAUGUCAUGGAAAUACGAACUGAUCUGGGAAGCAAUGAUUAUGAGACUAAAUUGCAUCUGUUACAAUUAAUGCCGUUUAGUAACUAUUGUAAUUAUAAAUGAUGACAAAGGGAGAACUUUUACAAAUGAUAGGUUUGAAUAUCAAGGAAAGAGGCGCUUGAUGGAUUGAAUAUCGUCAGAGACAGAUCAUAUCGGAGGUAAUUAAUUAAAAUAGAAAGAGGUUUAGAAUAGGAGCCUGUGGAAUACUAUAAUUAAAAUAACUAUUAGCAUGGAGAAAAUGGAGAUGCCAAGGGGGUUGAUAAACUAGCCUGAAAACCUAAGACAAGAAUAUGGUCUGCAACAAAAAAGGGACUGUAAUUUAUGUGCCCAAAAUUCAGCAGAGGAAAAGCAGGGGAAAGCAGUAGCUGAUCCCUACCUACUGCUUAAACAUAUAUUCACACAUGUGGCUACGUCUACACUGGCAAGAUUUU